rnacentral:rRNA from 1 species
UACGAAGGGGGCUAGCGUUGCUCGGAAUCACUGGGCGUAAAGGGUGCGUAGGCGGGUCUUUAAGUCAGGGGUGAAAUCCUGGAGCUCAACUCCAGAACUGCCUUUGAUACUGAGGAUCUUGAGUUCGGGAGAGGUGAGCGGAACUGCGAGUGUAGAGGUGAAAUUCGUAGAUAUUCGCAAGAACACCAGUGGCGAAGGCGGACUCACUGGCCCGAUACUGACGCUGAGGCACGAAAGCGUG